AUUGAACGCUGGCGGCAGGCCUAACACAUGCAAGUCGAGCGGAUGAAGGGAGCUUGCUCCUGGAUUCAGCGGCGGACGGGUGAGUAAUGCCUAGGAAUCUGCCUGGUAGUGGGGGAUAACGUCCGGAAACGGGCGCUAAUACCGCAUACGUUCUGAGGGAGAAAGUGGGGGAUCUUCGGACCUCACGCUAUCAGCUGAGCCUAGGUCGGAUUAGCUAGUUGGUGGGGUAAAGGCCUACCAAGGCGACGAUCCGUAACUGGUCUGAGAGGAUGAUCAGUCACACUGGAACUGAGACACGGUCCAGACUCCUACGGGAGGCAGCAGUGGGGAAUAUUGGACAAUGGGCGAAAGCCUGAUCCAGCCAUGCCGCGUGUGUGAAGAAGGUCUUCGGAUUGUAAAGCACUUUAAGUUGGGAGGAAGGGCAGUAAGUUAAUACCUUGCUGUUUUGACGUUACCAACAGAAUAAGCACCGGCUAACUUCGUG
rnacentral:rRNA from 1 species